GCAUGGGUCAGUGGCAGACCGUUUGCUUUGCAUGCAGAAGUCCCAGGUUCAACUACCAGCAUCAGCA
rnacentral:tRNA from 1 species